rnacentral:rRNA from 1 species
UACAGAGGGGGCAAGCGUUGUUCGGAAUUACUGGGCGUAAAGGGUGCGUAGGCGGUCCGUUAAGUCUGAUGUGAAAGCCCUGGGCUCAACUCAGGAAUUGCAUUGGAAACUGGCGGGCUGGAGUACGGGAGAGGGAAGCGGAAUUCCUGGUGUAGCGGUGAAAUGCGUAGAUACCAGGAGGAACACCGGUGGCGAAGGCGGUUUCCUGGCCCAGUACUGACGCUGAGGCACGAAAGCGUGGGGAGCGAACGGG